AACUGGGCUGGCCCGGCCUCGGGCUCGCCGCUGAUGGCGGUGAUGAUGGGCGCGGUGCUCGCCGUGGUGCUCGGCGCGCUGUUC
rnacentral:tRNA from 1 species